GGUAAAUCAAGGCGGAGUGGCUGAUUCCACGAGAGUAGGUUUAUUGUAUAUUGUUUACCUCGGAGUAUAGAAUCUCUUGUUUUUUUUUUUUUGAGAGAGAGAGGAUAAUGGUUAUUCUUGACAUCACUCUUUUGAUGUUAAUUGUUCAAACAAAAACAACAAAGACUGAUUUCUUCCACCAAAUUCAGGUAGCUAACUUGUCCAAAGUUGGCAAAUCAGCUCCUCUAGACUAAAUAUAGAAUUUUAGAUCAGGAGGCGAGGUUAAGCUCAAGAAUUUCAUUAUGAUUUGACUUGUAAAACCUACAAUCUUUGGAUCAACUGUAAACUACAAAGUUAUAAUCUCAUUGAAAACUUUCAAUUCACACUCUCGACUAGUACCCAUGCUAGGAGAUUAAACAGGCUAGAUCAAUAAAGAUUUAAAAACAUUACACAAAUAUUAGAUAAAUCUCUCCCAUUUUCCCUUUACCUUUUCUCCCCUUCUCUCUCGGGGAGAGUCUGGAGAUGUUAACAAACACUAAAGGCGUAUCUUUGUAAGCUGCAACUGCAACAAAACCUGAGAAUGGUACUUGAGCAUGGAUGAAAUUCCCAUGACUGCACUUAAACACGUGCCAGAGUGAUUAUGACAAGAAACAAAAUCAACGUUUUCUGCUCUUUGACUUGGUGAUCUUAGAUUUGCUUGAUUCAGUAGGUGGUUUCCAGAUGAUGUCAUCAAGAUUGCUACAAAAGCUC
rnacentral:misc_RNA from 1 species